AGUGAACGCUGGCGGUAGGCCUAACACAUGCAAGUCGAACGGCGGCACAGUAAGAGCUUGCUCUUACGGGUGGCGAGUGGCGGACGGGUGAGGAAUACAUCGGAAUCUACUUUUUCGUGGGGGAUAACGUAGGGAAACUUACGCUAAUACCGCACACGACCUACGGGUGAAAGCAGGGGAUCUUCGGACCUUGCGCGAUUGAAUGAGCCGAUGUCGGAUUAGCUAGUUGGCGGGGUAAAGGCCCACCAAGGCGACGAUCCGUAGCUGGUCUGAGAGGAUGAUCAGCCACACUGGAACUGAGACACGGUCCAGACUCCUACGGGAGGCAGCAGUGGGGAAUAUUGGACAAUGGGCGCAAGCCUGAUCCAGCCAUACCGCGUGGGUGAAGAAGGCCUUCGGGUUGUAAAGCCCUUUUGUUGGGAAAGAAAAGCAGCAGGUUAAUACCCCGCUGUUCUGACGGUACCCAAAGAAUAAGCACCGGCUAACUUCGUG
rnacentral:rRNA from 1 species